rnacentral:rRNA from 1 species
UGACGAAGGGGGGCUAGCGUUGCUACGGAAUGACUGGGCGUAAAGGGCGCGUAGGCGGAUGGCACAGGUCAGAUGGUGAAAUUCCCCGGGCUUAACCUGGGGGCUGCAUUUGGAUACGUGUGAUCUAGAGUGAGGAAGAGGGUCGUGGAAUUCCCGGUGUAGAGGUGAAAUUCGUAGAUAUCGGGAGGAACACCGGUGGCGAAGGCGGGCGAUCUGGGUAGAUACUGACGCUGAGGUGACGAAAGGCGUGGGGGAGCAAACAGG